UACGUAGGGUGCAAGCGUUGUCCGGAAUUAUUGGGCGUAAAGAGCUCGUAGGCGGCUUGAUAAGUCGGAUGUGAAACCUCCAGGCUCAACCUGGAGUCGCCAUCCGAUACUGUCAUGGCUAGAGUCCGGUAGGGGCCCACGGAAUUCCUGGUGUAGCGGUGAAAUGCGCAGAUAUCAGGAGGAACACCGGUGGCGAAGGCGGUGGGCUGGGCCGGCACUGACGCUGAGGAGCGAAAGCGUGGGGGAGCGAACAGG
rnacentral:rRNA from 1 species